rnacentral:lncRNA from 1 species
AUUAAUAUCAAUCUAAUGACAUUCCAUAGGAAUAAAAAUCCAGUGGGAGUCAGAAGUACAAAGUCAAAUACCAUUUGCACAUCACCAAGAGGUACAAUCUGAUGAGUAACAGGAUAUCUGAUCUAAAAGCUUGCCAGGUUUCACAAGCUGUUUGAGUAUCACCAGGGCAGAUCAAGAAGAAAUAUGAAGGCCAGGUUCAUAACAAGCAGUUUCUUCAUUGCAAUUACAGAUUUAAAAACUUGAAUGAA